UUUCUCCUCCCUUCCUCUCCUGUGGUUGCCGUUGUUGCCUACUUCGACCUGUCCUACCCUUCCCUUUUCCCCAACCUAGGAGCAUCUGUCGAUGACUUCUCUGCUUCAUCCGUUCAACAGAUCGUCGAUCAUUGCCUCUACGAUACCAUCAACUACUCCAGACCUGUGAACAACAUGUCUAAAUCUCGCGUCUACGCGGAUUUCAAUGUUGUUCGCCCUAUGGAAUACUAGGAUUAAGAAGCACUUACUGUUCAAUGGGGGUCGGACGAUUGGUAACCAUGCGGGUGUAAUCGGAUUUUUGUACACUGGUAUGGAGAGCGGGAUGGUUAAGGCUAGGGAUGCAGAUGAUAUUAUUAACAACGUGGUGGCUGGAUUAGCGACUAGAGCGCUUUACAAGGCGGAGACUGUUGCCGGAGCUAUUGGUGGAAUAGCUGUGGGAUUAGCCAUGACAGGGAAGCAGAUUUUGAAGAGAUACAUACCAAUCUGAGCUUGAUCUGUAUUCAAUUUCAUCUUUACGUUUUUUUACAUUGGUGGAAUAGCGGUGGGAUUAGUUAUGUCUGUUUACCCUUUUGAUCUUUACGUUUUUCUACAUUUGGUAUAUUGUGCUAAUUUUCCUUCGCUCCUUUUUGGGAACAAAUGGUGUAUGUUUUGCUUAUAUACAACAAGAAAGAGAAAUAUAAAUGACUUGAAGCAUCAGUGUUCCAUCAGGUGAUCACCUACACUGCUAGAAAACAAGAAAGUUUUCUACUCUAAUGAAAUAAGUACAUGUCUUUAACACUAGAGCAAGGUUCCAUCAUCUCCAAUUUGGCUGCAAUACGUCCAACAUAACCUUCCACAUCAUUGUUGAGAUAAACCAAAGGUGUGUUUCCGAUCAACUGCAGUUCCUCCAAAUGACACAAUGUUUGUAACCAUGAGAGAGAGAGAGUGUGUGUGUGUGUGUGUCAUACAUCUUAUGAUAGGCGACCAGGUAAUAUGUUUCUCAUUUCUUGUUAUUUCCGUUUUUGCCCUUGUUUACAUUUCAUUCAUAAACCAGGUUCCAGCUUAUUGGAUUUUCAUUUCUGGUUACUCUCUUUCUAUUGAUGAAUCAAGUAUGACUGGCGAGAGUCACACUAUUAGGCUAUCUGCCUGUGAAAUGAUGGGUUCUGCAACUACAAUUUGCUGUGAUAAAACUGGAACCUUGAAUUCGAAUUUGUGGGAUAUUUUUCUUUUCUUGAUGACUGGUCGAGGCUUAUAUUUGUGGGAAGAAAAAUGAUCCACCAAAUGACACGUCAACAUUACCUCCAAAGAUUGUAUCUCUUCUUGUUGAAAGUGUAGCUCACAAUACAACUAGCAGUGUAUUUUCCCCUGAGGUAGGUAUUUUGAAUAUGUACCUUACGAGAGCACCAAUCCUCUUCUAUACCUUUUUUUUUCUUGGUGUUAGUGAUCUUUAAUCAAUUAUGAAAAAAGAAAAUUCACUGUCAAUGUUGGUUUGGUGCUUAAUUAAUACGGAGGCAUAGAUGUUGAGGUUUCUGGAUCUCCAAGAGAGAAGGCCAUA